UGGCUCAGCUGGUAAAGAAUCUGCCUGCAAUGCAGGAGACCUGGGUUCAAUUCCCUG
rfam:TPA: Bos taurus chromosome 29, whole genome shotgun sequence.